CUAGUUUGAAAUUUUCAUCAAAAAGAAACCCUCGAGUGUUUCCCGCCCCCCAAAUCUCACUAAUCCAAAUUCCAUACCUUUUAUCUACUCAAUACCCACUCAUUUUCUCUCUCAAAAUCUCCUUUCAUAGUGGAUCUAAAUAGGCUAAAACGAGAGGGCGUUCUUGGUGUUUUAUAAUAGAGGUUCGAUACGGGGGAAGAUAAUGGAGUUAGGGUUUUUCUGUUGAGGUCUUUUGUGAUGGUUCGAAGUCUUCAUCCGUCAAUCGUCACCCAAAAGGCCAAAAAAAUCAAACGCUACUUUACCCCUCUCGGCUGAAACACAAUAGCCUCCGGCGACCGGCAGGCUUCAGUGGUUCCCUCUCGAUUGAAAUACAACAGCUCUCCAUUAUAUAUUCAGAUUCAGAGAGGACCUGGCUCCUGAGAUUGAAAAGAGACGACAUAAGUUGAAGAAGGCUGCUAGUUUGCUUGCCUGUGCAAGAAGAGGUCGGGUAAACGUGGAUGUCGAUAAAAUCGAAUGCGAGUCUUGCUGUGCCACCCUCAAGUAUGUCGCACCGGAUUCAACGACUCCUACAAAAGGUGGUAAUGUAGGAGAAGAAUUCGGCAAUCAGCUUGAUGAAGGACACAAAGUAAUUUGCCCAUGGAGAGGAAACAGUUGUGAAGCUUAGUGCAGUUCCCUCCUACGCCGCCAUCAGCCCUAAUUGGCGGUUACAAGGACCAUUGUGA
rnacentral:lncRNA from 1 species